rnacentral:rRNA from 1 species
GGGAGCUUGCUCCCUGAUGUUAGCGGCGGACGGGUGAGUAACACGUGGGUAACCUGCCUGUAAGACUGGGAUAACUCCGGGAAACCGGGGCUAAUACCGGAUGGUUGUUUGAACCGCAUGGUUCAGACAUAAAAGGUGGCUUCGGCUACCACUUACAGAUGGACCCGCGGCGCAUUAGCUAGUUGGUGAGGUAACGGCUCACCAAGGCGACGAUGCGUAGCCGACCUGAGAGGGUGAUCGGCCACACUGGGACUGAGACACGGCCCAGACUCCUACGGGAGGCAGCAGUAGGGAAUCUUCCGCAAUGGACGAAAGUCUGACGGAGCAACGCCGCGUGAGUGAUGAAGGUUUUCGGAUCGCAAAGCUCUGUUGUUAGGGAAG